rnacentral:rRNA from 1 species
AGCGUAGACGGCAAUGCAAGUCUGGAGUGAAAACCCGGGGCUUAACCCCGGGACUGCUUUGGAAACUGUGUAGCUUGAGUACCGGAGGGGUAAGCGGAAUUCCUAGUGUAGCGGUGAAAUGCGUAGAUAUUAGGGGGAACGACCAGUGGCGAAGGCGGCUUACUGGACGGUAACUGACGUUGAGGCUCGAAAGCGUGGGGAGGCAAACA